AACGAACGCUGGCGGCAUGCCUAACACAUGCAGGUCGAACGAGAUCUUCGGGUCUAGUGGCGCACGGGUGCGUAACGCGUGGGAAUCUGCCCUUUGGUUCGGAAUAACAGUUGGAAACGACUGCUAAUACCGGAUGAUGACGAAAGUCCAAAGAUUUAUCGCCAGAGGAUGAGCCCGCGUAGGAUUAGCUAGUUGGUGUGGUAAAGGCGCACCAAGGCGACGAUCCUUAGCUGGUCUGAGAGGAUGAUCAGCCACACUGGGACUGAGACACGGCCCAGACUCCUACGGGAGGCAGCAGUGGGGAAUACUGGACAAUGGGCGAAAGCCUGAUCCAGCAAUGCCGCGUGAGUGAUGGAGGCCUUAGGGUUGUAAAGCUCUUUUACCCGGGAUGAUAAUGACAGUACCGGGAGAAUAAGCUCCGGCUAACUCCGUGCCAGCCGCCGCCGUAA
rnacentral:rRNA from 1 species